AGAGUUUGAUCCUGGCUCAGGACGAACGCUGGCGGCGUGCCUAAUACAUGCAAGUCGAGCGAAUCUUGAGGUGCUUGCACCUCUUGGUUAGCGGCGGACGGGUGAGUAACACGUGGGCAACCUGCCUGUAAGACUGGGAUAACUUCGGGAAACCGGAGCUAAUACCGGAUAAUCCUUUUCCUCUCAUGAGGAAAAGCUGAAAGUCGGUUUCGGCUGACACUUACAGAUGGGCCCGCGGCGCAUUAGCUAGUUGGUGAGGUAACGGCUCACCAAGGCGACGAUGCGUAGCCGACCUGAGAGGGUGAUCGGCCACACUGGGACUGAGACACGGCCCAGACUCCUACGGGAGGCAGCAGUAGGGAAUCUUCCGCAAUGGACGAAAGUCUGACGGAGCAACGCCGCGUGAGCGAUGAAGGCCUUCGGGUCGUAAAGCUCUGUUGUUAGAGAAGAACAAGUACCGGAGUAACUGCCGGUACCUUGACGGUACCUAACCAGAAAGCCACGGCUAACUACGUGCCAGCAGCCGCGGUAAUACGUAGGUGGCAAGCGUUGUCCGGAAUUAUUGGGCGUAAAGCGCGCGCAGGCGGUCCUUUAAGUCUGAUGUGAAAGCCCACGGCUCAACCGUGGAGGGUCAUUGGAAACUGGGGGACUUGAGUACAGAAGAGGAAAGCGGAAUUCCACGUGUAGCGGUGAAAUGCGUAGAGAUGUGGAGGAACACCAGUGGCGAAGGCGGCUUUCUGGUCUGUAACUGACGCUGAGGNNCGAAAGCGUGGGGAGCAAACAGGAUUAGAUACCCUAGUAGUCC
rnacentral:rRNA from 1 species